GACGAACGCUGGCGGCGUGCUUAACACAUGCAAGUCGAACGGAAAGGCCCUGCUUUUGUGGGGUGCUCGAGUGGCGAACGGGUGAGUAACACGUGAGUAACCUGCCCUUGACUUUGGGAUAACUUCAGGAAACUGGGGCUAAUACCGGAUAGGAGCUCCUGCUGCAUGGUGGGGGUUGGAAAGUUUCGGCGGUUGGGGAUGGACUCGCGGCUUAUCAGCUUGUUGGUGGGGUAGUGGCUUACCAAGGCUUUGACGGGUAGCCGGCCUGAGAGGGUGACCGGCCACAUUGGGACUGAGAUACGGCCCAGACUCCUACGGGAGGCAGCAGUGGGGAAUAUUGCACAAUGGGCGGAAGGCUGAUGCAGCAACGCCGCGUGCGGGAUGACGGUCUUCGGGUUGUAAACCGCUUUCGCCUGUGACGAAGCGUGAGUGACGGUAAUGGGUAAAGAAGCACCGGGUAACUAAGUGC
rnacentral:rRNA from 1 species